rnacentral:lncRNA from 1 species
CCCUCCCCAGUCCCCUCCCAGCUCGCCCCUCUGGCUGUGCUUCCGACCCGACGGCCGCGCGGCGCCGGCGCCCAGCAGCUGCAACCCGGCCCGCCCCUCCGGCCGUGCGUCGCCGGCGCCCCUCUGCUGCGCCCCUAGCCCCUUCGACCGUGCUUCAGACCCGCCGCUCGUGCGACGCCGGCGUUGGCGUCCCGCCCCUCCAACUGAGCUGGCCUCCUGCUCGCCGGUUGCGGCACCUCCCGGGCCAGUCCGCUUCGCCGGCCGUCGGCGCCUCCCCACGUCGAGGUCCGGCUCGCAGGCCACGGCCACCGCCCCGUGCCCACCCGUCUCAGCUGCCGUGGAGGAGAAUUGGAGAAAAGAGAGGCAUGGUGAGGCAGAGGAGAGAGAGAUGUCUGGGGCCCGCUCGGCGUGGGGAAAUAUGUUAGCGGCUCUCGGCUCCCGCCAACCGUGGCGAUAAUUUAUUCUCUCUCCUUAUUUCUCAUUCCUUCGUGGAAGCCUUGUAGAGAGCUUAUCGACACCGUUGCGGGUGCUCUUAGAGCUGUUCUACUAAAAAAAAGCUCACGCUGACAACCGGUAAACUGUUGGGGUAUUUGAUUUGAUGCAUUAGGAUUUUAUGUGUCGUCCAACAUGUAUUUUUUAUUCACA